rnacentral:tRNA from 1 species
CGGCAGGUAGCUCAGUGGUUUAGAGCAGUCGCCCGGCAAGACCCGGGUUCGAUUCCCGGUCACGCGA